rnacentral:rRNA from 1 species
UACAGAGGGUGCAAACGUUGUUCGGAAUCACUGGGCAUAAAAGCGCACGUAGGCUGCCUCGUAAGUGUCGGAUGAAAUCCCACGGCUUACCCGUGGAACGGUCCGGCAUACUGCGGGGCUAGAGGAUGGUAGAGGAGAGCGGAACUCUUGGUGGAGCGGUGAAAUGCGUAGAUAGUCAAGAGGAACACCGGUGGCGAAGGCGGCUCUCUGGUCCAUGUCUGACGC